ensembl:miRNA aca-let-7f-2 aca-let-7f-2
UUCUCUUUAUCAGGUUGAGGUAGUAGAUUGUAUAGUUGUAGGGCAGUUAUUUUGCCCUCUUCAGGAGAUAACUAUACAAUCUAUUGCCUUCCCUGAGGAGUAACAUU